rnacentral:rRNA from 1 species
GACGAACGCUGGCGGCGUGCCUAAUACAUGCAAGUAGGACGCAGUUGCGAACGGGUGAGUAACGCGUAGGUAACUACCUAUUAGAGGGGGCUAACUAUUGGAAACGAUAGCUAAUACCGCAUACUAGUAGAUGGACCUGCGUUGUAUUAGCUAGUAGGUAGGGUAAUGGCCUACCUAGGCAACGAUACAUAGCCGACCGGGGAGGGUGGACGGCCAAACUGGGACUGAGACACGGCCCAGACUCCUACGGGAGGGAGCAGGAGGGGAUCUUCGGAAAAGGGGGGAACCCUGACCGAGCAACGCCGGGGGAGUGAAGAAGGUUUUCGGAGCGUAAAGCUCUGUUGUUAAGGAAGCGGUACUUAACCAGAAAGGGACGGCUAACUACGUGCCAGCAGCCGCGGUAAUUC